rnacentral:lncRNA from 12 species
AUGGAAUCACCAAGAAUAUAUUUACCCACCAAAGCCACCAGAAACCAAACUGUCUCUUCCUCUUUACCUUUCUCUUUGAAGCCCCAUGGUCUUUUAUUUAUUUUCUCACCGAGAGGGUGCUUUAUUCUUUUCUUUCCUUUGCUUUUUUUUUGUCUGAUCAGCCUCUCAUCCUUCCUCUUAAGUAUCCAUAUAGCCUGACUAGAAUGGCUAUUAUCCAAUUCCAAAUUUCCAUAAAAGACAAUCUGAUCAGCCCAGCUUGGCCAAGUGUCUAUCCUUGGACCAAUCAAAUGUGACCGGGAGAGUGAAAUCAAUAGGAACAUACCUGUGAGAAUUACCCCCAUAGGAAAGGGCAGUUCGCAGAGGAGAAUCCCAAAAGAAGUCUCUUAUAACCAUAUAUCAUUGAUGAUCAUUGCAAGGACUCAUCAACAAGAGAAAGAUCACUACAAAAUAGUUAGUAACUGCCUUAUUCUGAGAAAGGAUAUGAAGCAGCUAAUUAUUAAAGAAUUCUUAAAGUCUGUACAGGUGCAGACUUUAAUAAGCCUGGAAAAUGCAUAAAUAAGUAUCAAAAUGCUUUAACAUAGAAUCAUUAAGAAUUUCAAAUGUGACUAAGUUUAAGUGGAAACUUAAACUAUUUACACUAUUGUUGUGAGUGGAAAGUUUUAUUUGUAAUGAUUACGGAUAAGUAUGGAGAUUUUUAAAAGUUUGACUGGUUUGUUUCUUUUUGCUUAAAUGCAGUCUGUGUUUUAGCCAAAAUUACAUUAGCAAGAAAAUAUGAUAAAACAAGAACUAGUAAAUCAAUUUGAAUGUAAUCAGCAGAGGGACCUAGUUUUAGAUAUUUAAAAUAUCUUGGUCAAUUAUAAUGUUUUGGUUAACGAAUUGUUGAAAUUUCAUAAGGAAAUGAAACCCAGUUGUCUGGUUUUACCAGGUGUUUCUAUCUAUAUGACUAUAGCUAAUUGUACCUUGUAGCAUGGGUAUUAAAUGUUUUAAGCUACGUAUCUUGUUUCACUACUAACUGAGUAGGGGAAGUAAAAUGAGGAACAAAUCAUUACUCUGGACAGGAAGCAAUAGAAAGGCAAAUCAACAUUGUUCUUGACUUGGUCCUUUGCAUUGUUUUUAUAUAUAUUUUUACUGGAAAUGCUUUAUAGCAAUGCUCUUUUGGAUCACCAUUUAGUUGAUCAGUAAAUAGAUGUCUGAUGUA